ensembl:miRNA
UUCCUGCUGAACUGAGCCAGUGUUUCUGCAGUACUGUAAUCAGCUCAGUAGGCACG